rnacentral:rRNA from 1 species
UACGAAGGGGGCUAGCGUUGUUCGGAUUUACUGGGCGUAAAGGGCGCGUAGGCGGGUGCUCGAGUCAGGGGUGAAAUGCCAAGGCUCAACCUUGGAACUGCCUUUGAUACUGGGCGCCUGGAGAUCGGGAGAGGUGAGUGGAAUUCCGAGUGUAGAGGUGAAAUUCGUAGAUAUUCGGAGGAACACCAGAAGCGAAGGCGGCUCACUGGCCCGAUACUGACGCUGAGGCGCGAAAGCGUGGGGAGCAAACAGG